rnacentral:rRNA from 1 species
UGCCAGCAGCCGCGGUAAUACGGGGGGGGCAAGUGUUAUUCGCAAUGACUGGGCGUAAAGCGUACGUAGGCUGUUUGUAUUAAGCUUUAGGCGAAAGGCUAGGGCCCAACCUUAGUGUGAUCUUUAGUAUAACAAACUUGAGUUUGAUAGAGGAUAAUAGAAUUCUCAGAGGAGGGGUACAAUCCAUGGACACUGAGAGGAAUACCGAAGGCGAAGGCAAUUGUCUGGAUCAAACUGACGCUAAAGUACGGAAGCGUAGGUAGCAAAUAGGAUUAGAUA